rnacentral:lncRNA from 1 species
UGAAAACCAAACACUAAUUCUUAGAUCCUGAAUUAACUGGAAACUAUUUUAAGCAUCCAUUAUACACAAAAUAUAUAUAUACAUUUGCAAACCAAUAGAUUAAUCCUAUAAUCACUUCUUAUGCUCACCCAAUAUUCCAAAAUUCGAAUUCAAACUAACAUUAAACAUGCUAACAAACCUUGAAAUACUUGUAAGGAAUCAGUAUUACCUUAAGCUAAACUCUAAAUGAAUUCCAUGCCUUAUGAAUAACUAAUACUCAAUUAUUACAACUUUACCAAACUAUUCAAAGAAUAUCAAAUCCACACACACUGGAUCAAUGAUAGAAUCUGAUAAAUAUCUUCAGCUAAGAUGAAUUGCAGACUAAGUUAUAUCACUAAAGUCAACAACUACACAAUUCUACAAUGAAUUUGAGCACUCAAACUUGAGGAAAUUAGGGGGAUGAACUAAAGCUAAAAUAUAAACAAUUUUCGAUAAUAGUUACAAACCAAAUAUACACCUAAAUUAAACAAAAGGCCAUAACAAGUAAAAAAAACAAAUCAUACAAAAAAACUGAAAAGGGCUCUCACGCUUUGACUUCUUCAUGUCAGUUCAUUUUUUCCAAAUUUCAUUUCACAAUCAACAUGGUUACAAGGGAGUGCACCUGGAAGUGGAAAGAAACAGAAUCAAAGCUAUCAGCCACAAAAUAGAGGUCGGCAACAACAAUAGAAUAAUAGAACACCAACCCAGGUUCAAGAGAUGGAAUUAUAAGAGUAUGCAAACCAAGGAAAGAGUGAUCCAAUAUACCAAAUGACUUCCAAAAUGAAACGGUGAUCACCAGACCAAAUAACUUCACAAAACCAACUAUUACCCCCAACUUCAAACCAUUUCCAAUUCCAAAUGAAUUGCAGAUAAUUUCAAAAAUGAGAGAAAACUUCCAGAAAUCCAAGAAGGAAAUAAAAAGAAAUCGAUAAAACAGUGAACUUCAGUUGUUUUUUUAUUUUUUGAUUUUCUUUUAUCAAACAGUAGAACUUUUAGUUUUUGUAUUUUGGAUCUUUUCCUAUCAAUCUCUAGUCGUUUUGAUUUUUCAAAUUUCUCUCCUAUAAUUCUUGCCUUGAAAGGCAAGAAGGAUAACUUAUAUAGGCCCAACCAUAUGGCAAACCCCAAAACCAGCUAUUCAUCUUUUAACCCUUUGUAAUUUCCUUUUUAUUCAAUUACCCCAUAUGUUAAGACACUAAAAUGCUGAAAUACCCCCUUUCCUCCCCCCGAUGAUAUCUAAAAUUCUCCCCUUCUCACAUGUGACCCUAACCUUAUCCUCUAGAGACUCCCCCCACAACAGAAAAGAUUCCUUACACCAAAUUCCUAGAAUACCCUCUUAAACCCCUGUAAUUACUUCAACGGACCAAAUGGACAUGGGUCAAUUCGACCCACUGGUCCAAUUCACUAUUGGGACAUGCCUUUAUUAUCUUAAGUUGGCCCAGAAAAAAACCAAGGUUCAAACAACCAUUAACGGAAAUAAUUUCAGCACUUUAACUCUUUAGAUCAGUUAGACUAGAAAACUGAAGCUAUUAAAGCAAUGGACUAAAUUGUUGAUUAAAAGAAAUGCAAGAUUAAUAUGUAUGAACAUAUAAUUGCAAAAUUAAACACACAAACUGGUUUUGAACAAACACUUUUUGAAUUCAGGACAAACGUUCUGGAAAUUAAAGUGACCUAAAACAAAACUAAAGGAAUAAUUAAACUAGACUAAAUCAAUUACAAGCAGAAAGGCUACAUACAAAGAGAAAAGAAGAAGAAUACAGGUGUAUAGCUAAAAAGAAAGAAGAAUGAAAAAGACUAGGAGAAUGAGACAUACCUUCCCAGAUACCCUCUUUGAAAUUGACCCUCGAGGAACCCAUGAUUUUGAGUCCGGACUAAACUUCAAUCAUGUGUUCUCAAAUGAGAACACAUGACUUAAUUCGAUUCCAAACUCAGAAUCUCAAAAUAACCAUUGAAUCAGACUCUUUUUUGGAAUUUAGGGUUUUUUCUUUGAUUCAAUAUUCGAAAGGUUUGGCGUAGAUUUGAGGAAAACCAUUUGGAUAAUAGUAAUUGGGAGACAAUGAGGAGUUCAGGGUGUAAUUUUGGGGAUUUUUGGGCGAGUUAGGAUUUUGCCGCCUCUCUUCGAUUCCAGAUUCGAGAGGUUUGGCAAGGAUUCGAGGAAAAUUAGUUGGAUAUUUCAAAAUAGGAGGUGAAGGAGAGUCUAAGUUGUAAAAUGGGAUUCACCGUAGGCGAUUUCCGGCAUGCGGCUCAUGGCGGAAAAGGUAAGGGGUCUCUGAGGGUGUGUUGAGGACGAUAAGAGGGGAUGAUGGGACGCUAAAACGACGUCGUUUAAAACCAACGACUCAGAUGAUGGGACGCUAAAACGACAUCGUUUGGGUUGGAAUGGGAGUUGGACCGGGCGAUGGGGUAUUGGGCUGGACCAACCAGGCACUCAUUUUAAAACAACUGGGCCUGGAUCUGACUUCCACUCUUACUUCUUUUCCUUUUGUUUUUAUUUCUUUUCCAAAUUUUU